GAGCCGAAAGGUGAAACGAUUUAUCGCCUGGAGAUGAGCUCGCGUCUGAUUAGCUAGUUGGGGGGGUAAAAGCCCACCAAGGCGACGAUCAGUAGCUGGUCUGAGAGGACGAUCAGCCACACUGGGACUGAGACACGGCCCAGACUCCUACGGGAGGCAGCAGUGGGGAAUUUUCCGCAAUGGGCGCAAGCCUGACGGAGCAAGACCGCGUGGGGGAGGAAGGCUCUUGGGUUGUAAACCCCUUUUCUCAAGGAAGAAGUUCUGACGGUACUUGAGGAAUCAGCCUCGGCUAACUCCGUGCCAGCAGCCGCGGUAAUACGGAGGAGGCAAGCGUUAUCCGGAAUGAUUGGGCGUAAAGCGUCCGCAGGUGGCCGUUCAAGUCUGCUGUCAAAGCCAGGGGCUCAACUCCUGACCGGCAGUGGAAACUGAACAGCUAGAGUGCGGUAGGGGCAGAGGGAAUUCCCGGUGUAGCGGUGAAAUGCGUAGAGAU
rnacentral:rRNA from 1 species